rnacentral:rRNA from 1 species
GGGAGUGGGCGAGCAUGACGGAGCACGCCGCGUGAGGGAGGAAUGUCUGUGGAUUGUAAACCUCUUUUCUCUGGGAAGAAGAUCUGACGGUACCAGAGGAAUCAGCAUCGGCUAACUCCGUGCCAGCAGCCGCGGUAAGACGGAGGAUGCAAGCGUUAUCCGGAAUUAUUGGGCGUAAAGCGUCCGUAGGCGGUUAUUUAAGUCAGUUGUUAAAGACUGCAGCUCAACUGUGGGAGAGCAACUGAAACUGGAUGACUAGAGUAUGGUAGGGGUAGAGGGAAUUCCUAGUGUAGCGGUGAAAUGCGUAGAUAUUAGGAAGAACACCAGUGGCGAAGGCGCUCUACUGGGCCAUAACUGACGCUGAUGGACGAAAGCUAGGGGAGCGAAUGGGAUUAGAUACCCCCUGUAGUCCAA